UACGGAGGGGGCUAGCGUUGUCCGAAGUUACUGGGCGUAAAGCGCGCGUAGGCGGGUUGGUAAGUCCGCUGUGAAAGCCCGGAGCUCAACUCCGGAGGGUCGGUGGAUACUGCCAGUCUUGAAGGUGCUAGGGGGAGAUGGAAUUACCGGUGUAGCGGUGAAAUGCGUAGAUAUCGGUAGGAACACCUGCGGUGUAGACGGCUUUCUGGACCAUUGCUGACGCUGAGAUACGAAAGCGUGGGUAGCAAACAGG
rnacentral:rRNA from 1 species